rnacentral:rRNA from 1 species
GACGAACGCUGGCGGCGUGCCUAAUACAUGCAAGUGGGACGCAAGGGAACACACUGUGCUUGCACACCGUGUUUUCUUGGGUCGCGAACGGGUGAGUAACGCGUAGGUAACCUGCCUAUUAGCGGGGGAUAACUAUUGGAAACGAUAGCUAAUACCGCAUAAUAUUAAUUAUUGCAUGAUAAUUGAUUGAAAGAUGCAAGCGCAUCACUAGUAGAUGGACCUGCGUUGUAUUAGCUAGUUGGUAAGGUAAGAGCUUACCAAGGCGACGAUACAUAGCCGACCUGAGAGGGUGAUCGGCCACACUGGGACUGAGACACGGCCCAGACUCCUACGGGAGGCAGCAGUAGGGAAUCUUCGGCAAUGGACGAAAGUCUGACCGAGCAACGCCGCGUGAGUGAAGAAGGUUUUCGGAUCGUAAAGCUCUGUUGUAAGUCAAGAACGUGUGUGAGAGUGGAAAGUUCACACAGUGAC